AUUUGAAGACGUAGGGUACAGAGGUAAGAUGUUCUAUCUUUCAGACCUUUUGUUUCACGUUAUUGGAAUUAGAAUAAUUCAGCAGCCUCAAUCGAUAUGAUUGGGGCUUUUUUUA
rnacentral:other from 1 species